UACGGGGGGAGCAAGCGUUGUUCGGAUUUACUGGGCGUAAAGGGCGCGUAGGCGGUCAGCACAAGUCAGUUGUGAAAUCUCCGGGCUUAACUCCGAAACUGCAUUCGAUACUGCCGUGCUUGAGGACUGGAGAGGAGACUGGAAUUUACGGUGUAGCGUGAAAUGCGUAGAGUAUCGUAAGGAAGACCAGUGGCGAAGGCGGGUCUCUGGACAGUUCCUGACACUGAGGCACGAAGGCCAGGGGAGCAAACGGG
rnacentral:rRNA from 1 species